rnacentral:SRP_RNA from 1 species
CCGUGCUAGACGGGGAGGUAGCGGUGCCCUGUAACCCGCAAUCCGCUGUAGCGGGGUCGAUGCCUGUUAGCGGUGCCGUCUAUUCGGGGCCUGACCUCUGCACGUAGUGUUGACAAUCGGGUCUUGCGCAACAGACGGCCGUGAACCCCGUCAGGUCCGGGAGGAAGCAGCGGUAAGCGGUUUGGUCUGUGUGCCGCAAGGUCACCUGGUUCGAGCUGGCGACAGGGGUAACGCCCGGAUAGGGGGUAUCAAUAACAGGUGCACGG